rnacentral:rRNA from 1 species
UACGUAUGGUGCAAGCGUUAUCCGGAUUUACUGGGUGUAAAGGGAGCGUAGGCGGCGCGUUAAGUCUGAUGUGAAAACCCGAGGCUCAACCACGGGAGUGCAUUGGAAACUGGCGGGCUGGAGUGCCGGAGAGGUAAGCGGAAUUCCUAGUGUGGCGGUGAAAUGCGUAGAUAUUAGGAGGAACACCAGUGGCGAAGGCGGCUUACUGGACGGCAACUGACGCUGAGGCUCGAAAGCGUGGGGAGCAAACAGG